rnacentral:rRNA from 1 species
CCCUUAGAUGUUCUGGGCCGCACGCGUGCUACACUGAGUGGAUCAGCGGGUCAGGUUGCGCGAAAGUGUUUCCUAAUCUUUAAAUCCGCUCGUGAUGGGGAUUGACGGUUGCAAUUUUCCGUCAUGAACGAGGAAUACCUUGUAAGCGCGGGUCAUCAUCCCGCGCUGAAUACGUCCCUGCCCUUUGUACACACCGCCCGCCACUCCUACCGAUUGAGUGGUCCGGUGAGGCUUUGGGAUCUGAGCGGAAAGAGCGUUUCGCUGUUUCUGCCCGGAAAACUCAGUCGAACCUUAUCAUUUAGAGGAAGGAGAAGUCGUAACA